rnacentral:rRNA from 1 species
AGCUCCAAUAGCGUAUAUUAAAGUUGUUGCAGUUAAAAAGCUCGUAGUUGGAUCUCGGGUACUAGCAUGUGGUACGCAUAACUGCUGUUACUACAUGUCUGGUCCUAAUCAAUCGGUUGGCCGUUGAUGUCCUUCAUUGGGUGUUUUCGGUAGCCGGUACGUUUACUUUGAGAAAAUUAGAGUGCUUAAAGCAGGCUAUAGGCCUGAAUAAUGUUGCAUGGAAUAAUAGAAUAGGUCCUCGGUUCUAUUUUGUUGGUUUUGUAGAGCAGUGAGGUAAUGAUUAAUAGGGACAGACGGGGGCAUUCGUAUUGCGGUGUUAGAGGUGAAAUUCUUGGAUCGCCGCAAGACGAACAACUGCGAAAGCAUUUGCCAAGAAUGUUUUCA